UACAGUAAAAUGCCGUUUUUGUCCCUGCUUUGCGUAGAAAUCUCUCGAUUUUUCUUCGUGUUGUGUGCUUCCAGCAUCUUCCACUUUUCACUUUACUCUGCUUUCCUUCUCUUUCCGUUUCUCUCAUCCUAGAACGGAAGAACGAUGGAAAAUCAGGGUUCUUCCAUUUGCUUCCACAGAUUUCUCGAUCUCUCUCGAGCUCCGGAUCGCUAGCCUUCGUAUGAAGGAAAUCGUGAAUCCUGCAGAAUCCUUGGGUUUCCUGAUUUCAUCGGCUAUUUCAUCAGUUUUUGGAUUCGAUCAGGAUCGGUUUUUUACCCAUGAAAUCUAGAGUCAUCUGAUGGCUUUUUCUAGGUUCGGUGAAUUUACAGGGGAGAGGGAGAGAGAGGCCUGUUGAGACCUGGACUGUCGAAUGGAGAGGAUGAAAAGCAACUGCAGGAAAGCGGCAAUGGAGACCCGGCAUCAGCAUUUUCAAGUCGAUAUGGGGAGGAAUUAGUGAAGGAAUGUAUAAAGAGAGGGACCGAGUUGGUUUAAGCUAUUGCGAAUAGUCUUUUCAACUCACAUUCAACUGAAGGCAUAGACGGUCCCAUUGUGCACAUGUUCACUUCCUGAAACUAAGCUACCAAGAUAGAAAGCAUGUUUGAUACUGUAUAUGAGUAUUUGGUAGUGAAACAUGUAUAGUGCUUCACAAUUGAAAAGAAGUGGAAUGGUAGUUUCAGGUGGACCGUAUUUGAUUGAGAAUAAGAUACCGUGCAAUAUCGAUUUUGGCAUGAAUGUUGGGGAUGAGUUUACCUGUUCCUACUGCUGCUCAAUAGGGAUGAGUUUCACAGCAGUUAAGGAUUGGUACAUAGGAAAUCAGCCAAAGAAUCUUGUUGUACAAUCAUUGGUGGUGCAAUUUUUUGCUCUUUUAUUAAAUUGUCCAUUCCUGCCAAAUUUUAAACGGUGAGAGUGCAACAAUUUUAUUUAAAAUUUAUUUUCCUUAUUUCACACUCCCAAUCUCACAAUAUAAUCUUUUUCUCGCUCAGUGUGUGUGAUUUUGUUGUUUUUUUGUUUUCUUUGUAGAAUUUCUGUGUGUUACUCUCACUCUUAUUUUCACUCUUGCUCACAAUCUCACAAUAUAAUAUUUCUCUUCCUCUUACUCUUACUCUUACUCCGACUGUGACUCACAAUUUCAUACUUGCUCAUUACUUUUGGUCUCUGACAUGGUUUCAAUUAAAGACGAUUUUUUUUCACAACAUAAUUUACACUUGCCGUUGCUGUAGAAAAGUUAAUUUCUGGUAGACAGAUGAUUUUAGUGUUGUUCCUAUUAUGCAUAAGGUUGUGGUUAUAAUAUUGUGAGAUUUUGUGUCUGCAUAAAUCCAGUAGUGGUUUUGAUAAUCAAAAAGUAAUCUCUCAACUUAUCAUCAGGUGCUUAAAGAUUUGAAUUUUUAAAGUGGUUCCACAAAACCUGUAAAGUGGUUCCACAAAACCUGCACAGUGGUUCCACAAAACCUGCAAAGUGGUUCCACCAAAAUAUGCAAAGUGGACGUUAUGUUGCUUGCAGCAGUAGAUUGUUCUUUUCUAUUUAAGUUUGACUGCUUCAACCAAAAAACUUUUGCUCAUGUGUAAAAGGAUGUUGGCAUCUGUUAUCCAAAACAAACAAGUAUGGGAUCACAUUUUUUCGUGUGUAAAUAGUUGAUCCAAACAUGAAUUAUCAAGGUGGAAUACUAGGUUAAUCAUUUUUGUAUACUAAUAAGGCAUUUGAUAAUGUCUUUUCUGUAAGUUAUAUAAAUUUUGACAGCUUUGUAAAUA